UCCGCACCCAGCUAGCAACUAGGCUCGAGUAUUCGAAAAGAGCGCCAAAACUACGUCGUUGGUCUAAAUUUCGCUUCAAAAAGUAGAGUGAGAGAGUUUUAAAAACCUGCGAGAGCGAAGAGGAAGAAAGAGAGUAGUGAGGCAGCGUCGGAGGAGAAGAGGAGAUAUGGCAGCGGCUGCUCCGGCGAAAUGUUUUCUCGUUACCGGUCCUCCGGGCGUAGGGAAGACGACACUCAUAAUUCGAGUGUUGGAAAGCCUAAAAACUGCUUACCCAAACUUGAAGGUUCAAGGUUUCUAUACUCGUGAAAUAAGAGAAGGAAGUGAGAGAGUAGGCUUUGAAGUGGUGACAGUCGAUGGACGUACUGGUCCUCUCGCUUCCAACAAAAUCUCCAGCGCUGAGUCUCUUAGAUGGCCUACCGUAGGGAGGUACAGAGUAGAUGUGGCUUCCUUUGAAUCACUAGCGUUGCCAGAGUUGCAGGUCAAGGAAGAUACUGAACUUUUUAUCAUUGAUGAAGUUGGUAAGAUGGAGCUGUGCAGUUCCUUUUUCUUUCCUGCUGUACUAAGAGUCCUGCAGUCAAAUAUUCCACUCUUGGCUUCUAUUCCCAUACCAAAAUCUGGCAGAGAUAUACCUGGAGUUGCAAGGUUGAGAAAUGAACCUGGUGCUACUGUUUUUACGUUGAGUAAAAAUAACAGAGAUGCCAUGAAAGAGCAGAUCUAUUCCCAUCUGACAGACUUGCUACCUAAGCUGUAGAUGUCUUGACAUUACGGUUGAGGCAGUAUAUGAAUGACGGCAAUAUCAGCAGGAACUUGACCUGAAUUCCCUGUAGGAAGGUAGUCUUUUUCCUCCACUGGCCAAUCUCAAAUAUUCAUAACCACAAAACCAAAAAAAAAAUAUAUGUAUACAUAUGACUAUAACACUGUAAAAAUCUGAGAAAGUAGACAAAAAAGUAUGUAGUACUAUAUCAAAGAAACUGUUAUUCUCUCACCGUGGGAUGCUGAGAGUGGUAUAUGGUACUUCAUCUGCUCUAUAAUAGUUGUCUCUUGAUUAACCU